GGAAGUAAAAGUCGUAAUAAGGUUUCCGUAGGUGAACCUGCGGAAGGAUCAUUAUCGGAUUUUGAAACUUCAGGCUGCUGCUGGCUCUCCUCGGAGGGCAUGUGCACGCUUGUUGUCCAUUAUUUCUCCCACUGUGCACAAAUUGUAGACCUUUCAGUAGGCCUAUGUUGUUUUUCACAAUCUCUGAAUGUAAUAGAAUGGUUUUGAAUCUUGGGAAAUACAAUACAACUUUCAGCAACGGAUCUCUUGGCUCUC
rnacentral:misc_RNA from 1 species